rnacentral:rRNA from 1 species
UACGUAGGGUGCAAGCGUUAAUCGGAAUUACUGGGCGUAAAGCGUGCGCAGGCGGUUUUGUAAGUCUGAUGUGAAAUCCCCGGGCUCAACCUGGGAAUUGCAUUGGAGACUGCAAGGCUAGAAUCUGGCAGAGGGGGGUAGAAUUCCAGGUGUAGCAGUGAAAUGCGUAGAGAUGUGGAGGAACACCGAUGGCGAAGGCAGCACCCUGGGUCAAGAUUGACGCUCAUGCACGAAAGCGUGGGGAGCAAACAGG